rnacentral:rRNA from 1 species
UACGUAGGGUGCGAGCGUUGUCCGGAAUUAUUGGGCGUAAAGAGCUCGUAGGCGGUGUGUCACGUCGUUCGUGAAAACCUGCAGCUUAACUGUGGGCGUGCGGGCGAUACGGGCAGACUGGAGUACUGCAGGGGAGACUGGAAUUCCUGGUGUAGCGGUGGAAUGCGCAGAUAUCAGGAGGAACACCGGUGGCGAAGGCGGGUCUCUGGGCAGUAACUGACGCUGAGGAGCGAAGGCGUGGGGAGCGAACAGG